rnacentral:lncRNA from 1 species
AUUAUGUUCAGCAUGGUUUAAUACUAACAUUUGCUAUAUUGAAUAUUUUUUAUCAAGUCAUAUCAGCAUGCAUAUUCACUACUAUGUGUUUAAAUGCAUUUGAUGUGAUAAGUCAUUUUCCAACGGAUAGAAAUUGGAAAACAAAUACAUGUAUAUGUUACCAGGAUAGUGAAGAACGCUUGUAUGGUGACAGAAUAUGCAG